rnacentral:rRNA from 1 species
ACUCCUACGGGAGGCAGCAGUAGGGAAUAUUGGACAAUGGGCGAAAGCCUGAUCCAGCCAUUCCGCGUGCAGGAUGAAGGCCCUCGGGUUGUAAACUGCUUUUGUACGGAACGAAAAGGCUUUCUCUAAUACAGAGGGCUCAUGACGGUACCGUAAGAAUAAGCACCGGCUAACUACGUGCCAGCAGCCGCGGUAAU